UACGUAGGGGGCAAGCAUUGUCCGGAUUUAUUGGGCGUAAAGAGCGUGUAGGCGGUUUGGUAGGUCCGUUGUGAAAACUCGAGGCUCAACCUCGAGACGCCGAUGGAAACCAUCAGACUAGAGUCCGGAAGAGGAGAGUGGAAUUCCUGGUGUAGCGGUGAAAUGCGCAGAUAUCAGGAAGAACACCCGUGGCUAAGGCGGCUCUCUAGUACGGUACUGACGCUGAGACGCGAAAGCGUGGGGAGCGAACAGG
rnacentral:rRNA from 1 species